GAUGAACGCUGGCGGUGGGCUUAACACAUGCAAGUCGAACGGAAAGGCCCUGCUUGUUUGGUGUGAUCGGGUGGCGAAAGCGUGAGUAACAAGUGAGUAACCUGCUCUUGACUUUGGGAUAACUUCAGGAAACUGGGCCUAAUAACGGAUAGGAGCUCCUGCUCGAUGGUGGGGGUUGGAAAUUUUCGGCGGUUGGGGUUGGACUCGCGGCUUUUCAGCUUGUUGGUGGGGUGGUGGCUUACCAAGGGUUUGACGGGUACCCGGCCUGGGAGGGGGACCGGCCACAUUGGGACUGAGAUACGGCCCAGACUCCUACGGGAGGCAGCAGUGGCGAAUAUUGCACAAUGGGCGGAAGCCUGAUGCAGCAACGCCGCGUGCGGGAUGACGGCCUUCGGGUUGUAAACCGCUGCAGCCUGUGACGAAGCGUUAGUGACGGUAAUGAGUAAAGAAGCACCGGCUAACUACGUG
rnacentral:rRNA from 1 species